rnacentral:rRNA from 1 species
GACGAACGCUGGCUGCGUGCUUAACACAUGCAAUUCGAACGUCAAGGCCCUUCUUUUGUGGGGUGCUCGAGUGGCGAUCGGGUGAGUAACACGUGAGUAACCUGCCCUUGACUUUGGGAUAACUUCCUGAAACUGGGGCUAAUACCGGAUAGGAUCUCCUGCUUCAUUGUGGGUGUUGGAUAGUUUCUUCGGUUGGGGAUUGACUCGCGGCUUAUCAGCUUGCUGGUGGGUUAGUGGCUUACCAAGGCUUUGACGGGUAGACGGCCUGAGAGGGUGACCGGAGACAGUGAGAAUGAGAGAGGGCCCAGAGUGCUACGGGGGGCAGCAGAGGGGAAGAUGGCACAGUGGGCGGAAGCCGGAUGCGACGACGCAGCGGGCGGGAUGACGGCCUUCGGGUUGAAAAACGCUUUCGCCUGUGACGAAGCGGGAGUGACGGUAAUGGGUAAAGAAGCACCGGAUAACUACGUG